rnacentral:ncRNA from 3 species
UACGUAGGUGGCAAGCGUUGUCCGGAUUUACUGGGCGUAAAGGGCGUGCAGGCGGUUUGUUAAGUGCAGGGUGAAAGCUCCCGGCUCAACUGGGAGAGGUCCUUGCAUACUGGCGAACUCGAGGGAGGCAGAGGAAAGUGGAAUUCCCGGUGUAGUGGUGAUAUGCGUAGAUAUCGGGAGGAACACCUGUGGCGAAGGCGGCUUUCUGGGCCUUACCUGACGCUGAGACGCGAAAGCGUGGGGAGCGAACCGG